GGGUUGUGAGGUUAAGCGACUAAGCGUACACGGUGGAUGCCCUGGCAGUCAGAGGCGAUGAAGGACGUGCUAAUCUGCGAAAAGCGCCGGCGAGGUGAUAUGAACCCUUGACCCGGCGAUGUCCGAAUGGGGAAACCCAGUGCAAUCCGUUGCACUAUCGUUAACUGAAUACAUAGGUUAACGAGGCGAACCGGGGGAACUGAAACAUCUAAGUACCCCGAGGAAAAGAAAUCAACCGAGAUUCCCCCAGUAGCGGCGAGCGAACGGGGAGCAGCCCGGAGUCUGAAUCAGCUUGUGUGUUAGUGGAACGGUCUGGAAAGUCCGACGGUACAGGGUGAUAGUCCCGUACACGAAAGCACACAUGCUGUGAACUCGAAGAGUAGGGCGGGACACGUGGUAUCCUGUCUGAAUAUGGGGGGACCAUCCUCCAAGGCUAAAUACUCCUGACUGACCGAUAGUGAACCAGUACCGUGAGGGAAAGGCGAAAAGAACCCCGGCGAGGGGAGUGAAAAAGAACCUGAAACCGUGUACGUACAAGCAGUGGGAGCCUCUUUAUGGGGUGACUGCGUACCUUUUGUAUAAUGGGUCAGCGACUUAUAUUCUGUAGCAAGGUUAACCGUAUAGGGGAGCCGAAGGGAAACCGAGUCUUAACUGGGCGUUAAGUUGCAGGGUAUAGACCCGAAACCCGGUGAUCUAGCCAUGGGCAGGUUGAAGGUUGGGUAACACUAACUGGAGGACCGAACCGACUAAUGUUGAAAAAUUAGCGGAUGACCUGUGGCUGGGGGUGAAAGGCCAAUCAAACCGGGAGAUAGCUGGUUCUCCCCGAAAGCUAUUUAGGUAGCGCCUCGUGAACUCAUCUUCGGGGGUAGAGCACUGUUUCGGCUAGGGGGCCAUCCCGGCUUACCAACCCGAUGCAAACUACGAAUACCGAAGAAUGUUAUCACGGGAGACACACGGCGGGUGCUAACGUCCGUCGUGAAGAGGGAAACAACCCAGACCGCCAGCUAAGGUCCCAAAGUCAUGGUUAAGUGGGAAACGAUGUGGGAAGGCACAGACAGCCAGGAUGUUGGCUUAGAAGCAGCCAUCAUUUAAAGAAAGCGUAAUAGCUCACUGGUCGAGUCGGCCUGCGCGGAAGAUGUAACGGGGCUAAACCAUGCACCGAAGCUGCGGCAGCGACACUAUGUGUUGUUGGGUAGGGGAGCGUUCUGUAAGCCGUUGAAGGUGUGCUGUGAGGCAUGCUGGAGGUAUCAGAAGUGCGAAUGCUGACAUAAGUAACGAUAAAGCGGGUGAAAAGCCCGCUCGCCGGAAGACCAAGGGUUCCUGUCCAACGUUAAUCGGGGCAGGGUGAGUCGACCCCUAAGGCGAGGCCGAAAGGCGUAGUCGAUGGGAAACAGGUUAAUAUUCCUGUACUUGGUGUUACUGCGAAGGGGGGACGGAGAAGGCUAUGUCAGCCGGGCGACGGUUGUCCCGGUUUAAGCAUGUAGGCGGAGGUUCCAGGUAAAUCCGGUACCUUUUAACGCUGAGGUGUGAUGACGAGGCACUACGGUGCUGAAGUGAUAAAUGCCCUGCUUCCAGGAAAAGCCUCUAAGCAUCAGGUAACACGAAAUCGUACCCCAAACCGACACAGGUGGUCAGGUAGAGAAUACCAAGGCGCUUGAGAGAACUCGGGUGAAGGAACUAGGCAAAAUGGUGCCGUAACUUCGGGAGAAGGCACGCUGAUGUGUAGGUGAAGCCCCUGCGGGCGGAGCUGAAAUCAGUCGAAGAUACCAGCUGGCUGCAACUGUUUAUUAAAAACACAGCACUGUGCAAACACGAAAGUGGACGUAUACGGUGUGACGCCUGCCCGGUGCCGGAAGGUUAAUUGAUGGGGUUAGCGGCAACGCGAAGCUCUUGAUCGAAGCCCCGGUAAACGGCGGCCGUAACUAUAACGGUCCUAAGGUAGCGAAAUUCCUUGUCGGGUAAGUUCCGACCUGCACGAAUGGCGUAAUGAUGGCCAGGCUGUCUCCACCCGAGACUCAGUGAAAUUGAACUCGCUGUGAAGAUGCAGUGUACCCGCGGCAAGACGGAAAGACCCCGUGAACCUUUACUAUAGCUUGACACUGAACACUGGUCCUUGAUGUGUAGGAUAGGUGGGAGGCUUUGAAGCGUGGACGCCAGUCUGCGUGGAGCCAACCUUGAAAUACCACCCUUUAAUGGCUGGUGUUCUAACGUAGACCCGUAAUCCGGGUUGCGGACAGUGUCUGGUGGGUAGUUUGACUGGGGCGGUCUCCUCCCAAAGAGUAACGGAGGAGCACGAAGGUUGGCUAAUCCUGGUCGGACAUCAGGAGGUUAGUGCAAUGGCAUAAGCCAGCUUGACUGCGAGCGUGACGGCGCGAGCAGGUGCGAAAGCAGGUCAUAGUGAUCCGGUGGUUCUGAAUGGAAGGGCCAUCGCUCAACGGAUAAAAGGUACUCCGGGGAUAACAGGCUGAUACCGCCCAAGAGUUCAUAUCGACGGCGGUGUUUGGCACCUCGAUGUCGGCUCAUCACAUCCUGGGGCUGAAGUAGGUCCCAAGGGUAUGGCUGUUCGCCAUUUAAAGUGGUACGCGAGCUGGGUUUAGAACGUCGUGAGACAGUUCGGUCCCUAUCUGCCGUGGGCGCUGGAGAAUUGAGGGGGGCUGCUCCUAGUACGAGAGGACCGGAGUGGACGCAUCACUGGUGUUCGGGUUGUCAUGCCAAUGGCACUGCCCGGUAGCUAAAUGCGGAAGAGAUAAGUGCUGAAAGCAUCUAAGCACGAAACUUGCCCCGAGAUGAGUUCUCCCUGAGACUUUAAGUCUCCUGAAGGAACGUUGAAGACGACGACGUUGAUAGGUCGGGUGUGUAAGCGCAGCGAUGCGUUGAGCUAACCGAUACUAAUGAACCGUGAGGCUUAACCUUACAACACCGAAGGUGUUU
rnacentral:rRNA from 1 species